GUUUGCUGUGCUCACUACUGCUGUUUGCAGAGGAAGGAGGAAGAGGCUGUCGUUGCUGCUAGUCAGGAGGUGUGAGCUGCUGCUGAUUGCUGAAGGUGAAGGGGGGAACACUGCUGUUGUUGUUGCUGGGUGCUGGCGUGCUGCUUAUAGCCAGGGAGAAAAGGGAGGACUGUGCAGCUGUAGGGCUGUGUUGCUGAGGCUUGCUGUUGCUGAUUACCAGAUCGGAGAUGGGUGAACCAAAUGCUCUAGCUGAGGCUUUCGAGAAGCUUCCCAAGAUCCUCGCAGACUCCAACUCUGGGGCCAUCAUUCCUCGAUAGGAAGUGGCUCAGAAGUUCGUAAUGUCACCCCUAGAAUGAAGCUGGAGGGGGCCACAAAUUAUUUGAGUUGGUCCAGGAGGCAUUGCUGGUUGUGGAACAGAAGGAACUUGAUGGGCACUUAUUGGGUGUGGUUGAUGAACCAAGAGACAAGACUACCGCAGUGGGAAAGAGGUGGAAGGUCAUAAACUCUGUGCUCGUUGGCUGGUUGUUGAACUCAGUGAUGUCCUCCAUUGGACGCUCUAUGAAGGGACUAUCCACAUCCGCCGAGAUAUGGAAGACUCUAUCCACCCAAUACUCAGGCAAGGGUAAUUUCGUGCUAAUUGCUCAGACUGAGGGGAAGAUCAUCCGGCUGCGCUAAGGUGACGACAUGUCAGUGAUGGCCUAUAUGGUAGAGCUGCAGACUCUAUGGGCGGAGCAGAAUAACUGUGAUCCUCUAGAACUUUAUGAUGCGGCUUGCAUCGAGUCAGGGCGCAAGUGGAUUGCAUGCAAUCGUGUGCUGAAACUGUUGGAAGGACUCAGAGGCUGCUUUUAUGGCAGGGGGCAUCCCUGUUGUACCAACCUCUCCUGCCAACUAUUGAGGAAACUAUAGCAGCAAUGUCUCAAGAGGAGGUGAGGCUAUCUCUUGAGCAUGCAGACUGAAGGCUGUGUCGGCUUCGACAUUUGCAGUCGCUGAGCGCAUGGAGUGAGGGGAUCCCAACAAAUGUCAUAUCUAUGGGGAGGUAGGUCAUUGGAAGAGGGAAUGUCCAACUCAUGGUAGAGGUAGGGGAUACAACAGAGGGGAACUGGCAGAGGCAGAGGUGGAUACCUAGGGAGCUCAGGGGGUCAACUUUCUAGGGGCAGAGGUGGCUACUCAGCGGGUCAGAGGGUGCAUAUGGUAAUUGAAAGGGACACUGGGACGUCACAGGGCGAGGGAGUUGAUGAGAUUGCCUAUGGAGACUUUGCUCAGUGGGCCUCCACUGAUGAAGGUAAUCCGACGAAGGCAUUUCUUACUCCUAAUGAGAGUGCUUCAGAGUGGGUCCUAAACUCUGGAGCAUCUAAGCAUGUUGGGGGUAAUUCCUGUGUGCUUGAGUCUUACCAUAAGCAUGCUCCUACCCACAAGUGCACUAUACAAACCGCCGAUGGUACAAAUCAGCCUGUCGUAGGGGUUGGCACAGUCAAAUGCACUUCAACCAUCUCCUUAUCGCCAGUUUUACAUGAGUGCUAGAUGAGCCAGACGGUUGGGACUGACACCAGUCAUAGGGGGCUCUGGUACAUGGGCCAGGAGGUGCAACCAGACUUGGUGUGUGCUGCGACCAUGGAGGACAAGGAGAAGCAAGGGAUCAUGUAUCUUUUGAUAUGAUCCAUCACUAUAGGAUGGAUCAUGUAUCUUUUGAUAAGAUGAGUAGAAUAUUUCUAGAUGUUAUGUGUGGAAUAGGCAAGGGCAAGUUGACAUGUGAUGCUUGCGAAUAUGCAAAACACACACGAGCCUCAUAUGCAAGUAAGGGACUUAGGAGCAUAUCUCCUUUUAUGCUCAUUCAUUCGGCUGUAUGGACUAGCCUAGUAGUGCCAAUGAAUGGAAAGAAGUAUUUUGCUACCUUUA